rnacentral:rRNA from 1 species
UGCAAGUCGAACGCGUUGGCCCAAUUGAUUGAUGGUGCUUGCACCUGAUUGAUUUUGGUCGCCAACGAGUGGCGGACGGGUGAGUAACACGUAGGUAACCUGCCCAGAAGCGGGGGACAACAUUUGGAAACAGAUGCUAAUACCGCAUAACAGCGUUGUUCGCAUGAACAACGCUUAAAAGAUGGCUUCUCGCUAUCACUUCUGGAUGGACCUGCGGUGCAUUAGCUUGUUGGUGGGGUAACGGCCUACCAAGGCGAUGAUGCAUAGCCGAGUUGAGAGACUGAUCGGCCACAAUGGGACUGAGACACGGCCCAUACUCCUACGGGAGGCAGCAGUAGGGAAUCUUCCACAAUGGGCGCAAGCCUGAUGGAGCAACACCGCGUGAGUGAAGAAGGGUUUCGGCUCGUAAAGCUCUGUUGUUAAAGAAGAACACGUAUGAGAGUAACUGUUCAUACGUUGACGGUAUUUAACCAGAAAGUCACGGCUAACUACGUGCCAGCAGCCGCGGUAAUACGUAGGUGGCAAGCGUUAUCCGGAUUUAUUGGGCGUAAAGAGAGUGCAGGCGGUUUUCUAAGUCUGAUGUGAAAGCCUUCGGCUUAACCGGAGAAGUGCAUCGGAACUGGAUAACUUGAGUGCAGAAGAGGGUAGUGGAACUCCAUGUGUAGCGGUGGAAUGCGUAGAUAUAUGGAAGAACACCAGUGGCGAAGGCGGCUACCUGGUCUGCAACUGACGCUGAGACUCGAAAGCAUGGGUAGCGAACAGGAUUAGAUACCCUGGUAGUCCAUGCCGUAAACGAUGAGUGCUAGGUGUUGGAGGGUUUCCGCCCUUCAGUGCCGGAGCUAACGCAUUAAGCACUCCGCCUGGGGAGUACGACCGCAAGGUUGAAACUCAAAGGAAUUGACGGGGGCCCGCACAAGCGGUGGAGCAUGUGGUUUAAUUCGAAGCUACGCGAAGAACCUUACCAGGUCUUGACAUCUUGCGCCAACCCUAGAGAUAGGGCGUUUCCUUCGGGAACGCAAUGACAGGUGGUGCAUGGUCGUCGUCAGCUCGUGUCGUGAGAUGUUGGGUUAAGUCCCGCAACGAGCGCAACCCUUGUUACUAGUUGCCAGCAUUAAGUUGGGCACUCUAGUGAGACUGCCGGUGACAAACCGGAGGAAGGUGGGGACGACGUCAGAUCAUCAUGCCCCUUAUGACCUGGGCUACACACGUGCUACAAUGGACGGUACAACGAGUCGCGAACUCGCGAGGGCAAGCAAAUCUCUUAAAACCGUUCUCAGUUCGGACUGCAGGCUGCAACUCGCCUGCACGAAGUCGGAAUCGCUAGUAAUCGCGGAUCAGCAUGCCGCGGUGAAUACGUUCCCGGGCCUUGUACACACCGCCCGUCACACCAUGAGAGUUUGUAACACCCAAAGUCGGUGGGGUAACCUUUUAGGAGCCAGCCGCCUAA